UCGGGAAUAUUGCGCAAUGGAGGAAACUCUGACGCAGUGACGCCGCGUGCAGGAAGAAGGUUUUCGGAUUGUAAACUGCUUUAGACAGGGAAGAAACAAGACAGUACCUGUAGAAUAAGCUCCGGCUAACUACGUGCCAGCAGCCGCGGUAAUACGUAGGGAGCAAGCGUUAUCCGGAUUUAUUGGGUGUAAAGGGUGCGUAGACGGGAAUGCAAGUUGGUUGUGAAAUCCCUCGGCUCAACCGAGGAAUUGCAACCAAAACUAUAUUUCUUGAGUGCUGGAGAGGAAAGUGGAAUUCCUAGUGUAGCGGUGAAAUGCGUAGAUAUUAGGAGGAACACCAGUGGCGAAGGCGACUUUCUGGACAGUAACUGACGUUGAGGCACGAAAGUGUGGGAGCAAACAGGAUUAGAUACCC
rnacentral:rRNA from 1 species